CAACCGUUGGUAACUUCAUUGUUACGAUGAGGAAUGUUCUUGGCGUUACUGACUAAAAUAGGUGUCGAGUUUGUGUGCGUGAUAAUUCACGAGUCUUCAGUUGAAAAGUGACUAAUAUUACAAUUUACCUAGUUUGAUACACCUAAUUGAACUUCGGAAGAGAUGAUCUGAGCUCAACAGCUGUUAUGUUUUGAAAAUGAGUAUCUAGCUGAGUCACCUGUUGCUUCUACAACCUGACAAUGAAAACUCUCCAUUAGCUAUGUUUUGCUAUUUAGUUUAAAUCCAGUAUUUAGGCUGACAAGCAUCUGACGUAUAUUAAACCUCAACAACCAAAACAUGACUCCAUAAAAUAGACAAUGCAUCAAGGAUGGUUUACUCCGUUACUCUUGCCAAGAUGAUCUAUGCUAUAGCAAAGAUGCAUGCAAGCUAUUACCAGUACACCAACUCAUCGUCAAGAUAAUUUGAGUCAGUAGUAACCCUGUUGUUGACAAUGCAUCCAAGGAAACAUCACCAGUAAUGACUUGAAAUCUAUAUCUUCUGGUGAUAUUUUUGAUGCUGUAAUUGCUGAUGGCACGGUUAGAGGUAGUCGGUGAUUCUAGACAAUAUCUGCCUUCCUAUGGUGAAAUUAAUUGACGGUUUCUGCCCUCCUUUGGAAACGUAAAUUGGACACUGAUGGAAGUCUCGGACACUUAAUGGAUCAUCAGCUCAGCACGCCGAUGGAAAAAGUCUGACAAUGGAUCAGCAGCUUAAUUUUCGAAUGAAGAAACUGGACUAUCAAAAAUAUGUUCCAAGCUAUGGCAGCUAAAGGUGCUAGGACUCGAUGUGGGUGAAGAACUUUUAUCUGCUUAAGGUCUUGUCACUGAUGUUUUUGGUAGUUCAGUUUCUUCUUUGGGAAGUUGAUGCUUGAAUCAUAAAAUUUGUACCUUAAAAAUCCAUUUAAUUUAAGUAAUGUAAAAUAAAAAGA